ACUGCAAGUCGAGCUGUGUGAAUGAAGUGUCUGCGGGAGAUAUGCGGGUCAGUGCUUAGGGUCUCUCCCCUAAAGACCUUUCUCAGCUUCACACAAUGAAAUAGUACAAGGUCGAGUCUUUUCUUGGUCAUAGGGCAUUUCUAUUGUUCUGCAAUGGGCCUGCACUUCACAACAGAGAGGGAGAGAAAAGUUAUUAAUCAGUACUGACCACAGGCCUCAUUGAAAAAAAAAGAAAGGGAGAACUUCUAUAGGCACUUCAGCUGCAAGAGCUAUUAUCUGACGAAAGUUUGUUUGACGUUGCAACAUCGGCACUGGACAGACGAGUGGGCAGUCGGUAUCCUGUCCCCUCACUGGAGUAAUGUGGGAAAUUAUUUCAGAUAUAGAGGUGGCGCUCCAAUGAGAAACUAGGACAGUGAUGUAGACUAAAGAUGACACAUCUUGAACUGAAUGAAAGACGUCCAGAGAUUGAAAGGUGCACAGUAGAGAGCAUACUGACUGGUUGCAUCGUGGCCUGGUUUGGCAACUUGAACGUCCAGGAGCGGAAAAGACUGCAAAAAGUUGUGACCGAUGCCCAGUUCAUCACUGACUCUUACCUCCCCACCAUCGAAGGGAUCUACCGCAGUCGCUGCCUCAAAAGACAGUCAACAUCAUC